rnacentral:rRNA from 1 species
UACGGGGGGGGUAAGCGUUGUUCGGAAUUACUGGGCGUAAAGGGCUCGUAGGCGGCCAACUAAGUCAGACGUGAAAUCCCUCAGCUUAACUGGGGAACUGCGUCUGAUACUGGAUGGCUUGGAUUCGGGAGAGGAAUGCGGAAUUCCAGGUGUAGCGGUGAAAUGCGUAGAUAUCUGGAGGAACACCGGUGGCGAAGGCGGCAUCCUGGACCGGCAUUGACGCUGAGGCGCGAAAGCCAGGGGAGCAAACGGG